UACAGAGAUGGCAAGCGUUGUUCGGAAUCAUUGGGCGUAAAGCGCACGUAGGCGGCCUCGUAAGUCGGGUGUGAAAGCCCCUGACUCACUCAGGGAACUGCAUUCGAUACUGCGAGGCUUGAGGACAGGAGGGGAGAGUGGAACUUCUGGUGGAGCGGUGAAAUGCGUAGAUAUCAGAAGGAACACCGGUGGCGAAAGCGGCUCUCUGGUCUGUCCCUGACGCUGAGGUGCGAAAGCUAGGGGAGCAAACGGGAUUAGAUACCCCGGUAGUCCUAGCCGUAAACGAUGGGCACUAAGUAGGGGGCUAAAACCUCCCUGCCGUAGCUAACGCAUUAAGUGCCCCGCCUGGGGAGUACGGUCGCAAGACUAAAACUCAAAAGAAUUGACGGGGGCUCGCACAAGCGGUGGAGCAUGUGGCUUAAUUCGAUGCAACGCGAAGAACCUUACCGGGGCUUGACAUGAUGGAAGUAGGAACCCGAAAGGGGGACCAACGGUAUCCAAUCCGUAACCACCACAGGUGCUGCAUGGCUGUCGUCAGCUCGUGCCGUGAGGCGUCGGGUUAAGUCCUCUAACGAGCGAAACCCUUAUCUCUAGUUGCCAGCGGGUCACGCCGGGAACUCUGGAGAGACUGCCGUCGUCAAGACGGAGGAAGGUGGGGAUGACGUCAAG
rnacentral:rRNA from 1 species